GACGAACGCUGGCGGCGUGUUUAACACAUGCAAGUCGAACGGAGAUAACCGAGUAGCAAUACGAGAUUUUCUUAGUGGCGGACGGGUGAGUAACGCGUGAGCAAUUUGCCUUUGGGUGGGGGACAACAGCUGGAAACGGCUGCUAAUACCGCAUACGACAGCGUGGGGGCAUCCCCGUGCUGUGAAAGGAGCAAUCCGCCCAUAGAUGAGCUCGCGUCCCAUUAGGUAGUUGGCGGGGUAACGGCCCACCAAGCCCGCGAUGGGUAGCCGGACUGAGAGGUUGGCCGGCCACACUGGAACUGAGACACGGUCCAGACUCCUACGGGAGGCAGCAGUGAAGAAUAUUGGGCAAUGGGCGAAAGCCUGACCCAGCAACGCCGCGUGAGGGAAGAAGGUUCUCGGAUUGUAAACCUCUGUCCCAUGGGACGAAACAAAUGACGGUACCAUGGGAGGAAGCCCCGGCUAACUACGUGCCAGCAGCCGCGGUAAUACGUAGGGGGCAAGCGUUGUCCGGAAUUAUUGGGCGUAAAGGGUGCGUAGGCGGCCUUUCAAGUUGGAUGUGAAAUCCCCGUGCUUAACAUGGGAAUUGCAUUCAAAACUGGAGGGCUUGAGUGUGGAAGAGGUAAGUGGAAUUCCCAGUGUAGCGGUGAAAUGCGUAGAUAUUGGGAGGAACACCAGUGGCGAAGGCGACUUACUGGGCCACAACUGACGCUGAUGCACGAAAGCGUGGGGAGCAAACAGGAUUAGAUACCCUGGUAGUCCACGCUGUAAACUAUGGAUACUAGGUGUAGGGGGUAACACCCCCCCUGUGCCGCAGCUAACGCAAUAAGUAUCCCGCCUGGGGAGUACGGUCGCAAGAUUG
rnacentral:rRNA from 1 species